rnacentral:rRNA from 1 species
GACGAACGCUGGCGGCGUGGAUUAGGCAUGCAAGUCGAACGGUAUCAUCCUUUCGGGGGUGAGAGAGUGGCGAACUGGUGAGUAACACGUAGGUUAUCUACCCUCAAGACGGGGACAACCCAGGGAAACUUGGGCUAAUACCGGAUGUGAGCAACUUUUAGUUGUUUGAAAGGUGGCGUAAGCUGUCGCUUGGGGAUGAGCCUGCGUCCUAUUAGUUAGUUGGUGAGGUAACGGCUCACCUAGGCAAUGAUAGGUAGGCGGCCUUAACGGGUGGUCGCCCACACUGGGAUUGAGAUACGGCCCAGACUCCUACGGGAGGCAGCAGUCGAGAAUAGUCUACAAUGGUCGGAAGACUGAUAGUGCGACGCCGCGUGAACGAUGAAUCCCUUCGGGGUGUAAAGUUCUUUUAUAUGUGAGCAGUGCUUCUUAUAUUAACAGUAUGGGGAAGAGAUAUUAGCAUAUGAAUAAGCAACGGCUAAACUCCGUGCCCAGCCAGCCGCGGU